UUCCCGGUUGAUCCUGCGGGACCCGACUGCUAUUUGGGUGAGGAUAAGCCAUGCGAGUUGAAUGGGAAACCUAAAAAUCCCAUGGCAAACUGCUCAGUAACACAUGAUCAACUUACCCUAUAGAGGAAAAUAACCUCGGGAAACUGAGGAUAAUGUUCCAUAGUUGAAUCGGCUUGGAAAAGUUUUUCAAUAAAAGGGAUAAGGAAAAUGGUCCUUAUCUGCUAUAGGAUAGGAUCGUGCUCGAUUAUGGUUGUUGGUGAGGUAAAGGCUCACCAAGCCGAUAAUCGAUAGGGGCCGUGAGAGCGGGAGCCCCGAGAUGGGUACUGAGACAACGACCCAGGCCUUAUGAGGCGCAGCAGGCGCGAAACCUCCGCAAUACACGAAAGUGUGACGGGGUUACCCAAAGUGUUCUAUUUAGAACUGUGGUAGGUGAGUAAUGUUCCCUACUAGAAAGGAGAGGGCAAGGCUGGUGCCAGCCGCCGCGGUAACAUGAGCCGUGUCAGUGCCGUAGGGAAACCGUUAAGUGUGCCGCCUGGGAAGUACGGUCGCAAGGCUAAAACUUAAAGGAAU
rnacentral:rRNA from 1 species